UACGUAGGCAGCAAGCGUUGUUCGGAAUUACUGGGCGUAAAGCGCACGUAGGCGGCUUCUUAAGUCGGAGGUGAAAUCCUGGAGCUCAACUCCAGAACUGCCUUCGAUACUGGGAAGCUCGAGUCCGGGAGAGGUGAGUGGAACUGCGAGUGUAGAGGUGAAAUUCGUAGAUAUUCGCAAGAACACCAGUGGCGAAGGCGGCUCGCUGGCCCGGUACUGACGCUGAGGUGCGAAAGCGUGGGGAGCAAACAGG
rnacentral:rRNA from 1 species